rnacentral:rRNA from 1 species
CCUACGGGAGGCAGCAGUGGGGAAUAUUGGACAAUGGGGGGAACCCUGAUCCAGCGACGCCGCGUGAGUGAAGAAGUAUUUCGGUAUGUACAGCUCUAUCAGCAGGGAAGAAAAUGACGGUACCUGACUAAGAAGCCCCGGCUAACUACGUGACAGCAGCCGCGGUAAUACGUAGGGGGCAAGCGUUAUCCGGAUUUACUGGGUGUAAAGGGAGCGUAGACGGGGCAGCAAGUCUGAUGUGAAAGGUCGGGGCCCAACCCCGGGACUGCAUUGGAAACUGUUGAACUGGAGUGCAGGAGAGGUAAGCGGAAUGCCUAGUGUAGCGGUGAAAUGCGUAGAUAUAAGGAAGAACACCAGUGGCGAAGGCGGCUUACUGGACUGUAACUGACGUUGAGGCUCGAAAGCAUGGGGAGCGAACAGGAUUAGAUACCCCAGUAGUC